CAACAAUGCCUUCCCAACAUUUCCUCACUUUCUUCUUCUUCCUUCUCAUAUCUUGCAACACCAUCACUUCAUCAUCACCACCAUCAUCACAAAAAGAUGACACUUUUGAAUUUGUUCGUCCUAUGGACAAAAAAUUAUUAGGCAUAAACAAGAAGGAAAAACUAAGUCAUUUCAAAUUCUACUGGCAUGACAUAGGGAGUGGAAAAAACCAAUCAUCGGUUAUGGUUGUUCCACCAUCAUUGAAACUAAACUCAACAACUGGUUUUGGUUUGGUCAACAUGAUUGACAACCCUUUAACUUUAGGACCAAAGUUGAGCUCUAAACUUGUUGGAAAAUCUCAAGGGUUCUAUGCAUCAGCUUGUAAAGAUGAACUUGAUUUGCUUAUGGCUAUGAAUUUGGCUUUCAUUGAAGGAAAGUAUAAUGGAAGUAGUAUUACUAUUUUGGGACGGAAUCCGGUCUUUCAUAAGGUUAGAGAGAUGCCUGUUAUUGGUGGUAGUGGACUUUUCAGAUUUGCUAGAGGUUAUGCUCAAGCUAGUACUUAUUCCUUUGAUCUCAAAUCUGGAGAUGCUGUUGUUGAGUAUAAUGUUUAUGUUUUUCACUAUUGAUUGUUAGUAGUAAUUGUUCUUGUUGUUAUUAUUUUAGGAUUGUGUUUGUGUGAGCUUUUACGUACGUCUAUGGUUGUUUUGUGUUAGAUUUGGAUUUACUGUGGUUAUUAAACUAAUAAAUUUGUAGUUGUUGUACUCAAUUGAUUUAAAUGUAUCUUUGAAUUCACAGUGAGUUUAGCAGAAUCACUCUGUGAUUUUACAUAAGUUACAUUUUCGAGCUUUAACAAAAUCACUACAUCAUCGUAGUUUCAACAAACCAAUUGUGAUAUGAAACUCGUUGGAUAGAGAUCAGAUGACUCAAAUUGUAGAUCGAUAUAUCAGAAACCAAUAAUUCCAAUUGUUCAAUAUUAGAAGCAAGGGAAGGCUUUGAAGUUAAUUCUGUAGCACUGACACCUCUGAUCCAAAAUGUAUUUAGUGUAUGACACAUGUCAAUAUCAAACAUUGACAUGACACCGACAUGUGAUGAUUUUCAAUUAUUACAUGUGUUGGCUCUUCUAUAAUCACACCUGCUAAAUUAUGCAGGUCCACUAUAAGCUCCAAGUGAAGUGAUCUAUUUUCUUUUUAGUUUGGGAUGGACUUUAGAUUGGUGAAUUUUUUUGAGGUGUGCACAUCAUGUUCAUCUCAUACUUUCUUUUGGUGUAUUAAGGUGUGCAGAGCAGCAACAUGUUCAAAAAUGUUCCAAGCUUUGUCUGCAAUGUGCAGGACCAUACAAAUAAAACCAGGCAAAACCAUCAUUGUUUCUUUACUUUGAAGCCAGCACAGCACCUCAAACAUGUAUCAGUGUAUUUUUAUCUAAGAGGUGAAAAGUUUAGGAAAAGUAAUCCUUAUAAGUUAUACUCCCUCUGACUCUUAUUCUAAGCAAACUUUUUUUUUUUUCAACUCUGAUUCGGGAUCAGUUCUGGCAUCAAGUGGUUCUAAUCUCCUCCUGAUUGCAGUUGCGGGGAUAAGCAUACUUUUCCAAAUGUUAAGAAAAUUGUUAGUGAAUUUAAUGUGUCUAUUAUUGAUCUUUUAAAAAUACUUUUUUAUAAUAAUAUGUGUAACUUUUAACUUUUUAUAUUUUAAGAUAAAUUAGUAGUAUUAAUAAAGCUAUGUUUAAAUUAUCAACAACGAAAAAAAAAAAAACUAUGUUUAAAAAAACCUAAUAUUUGUUUUAAACAAACAGAUAGUGCAAAAGCAUCCCAUGAGAAAUCAUAAACUAAGUUGGCACUCAGCACCCUUUGACCGCCACCUAUCAUUUGUACGCAACAAAUAUUAUUAAAAAUAUAAAACGGAUACAAAAAUAUUUGGUGCAAGACUAGACCAAAAAUUAAGAUAGAAUAAUAAAGAGAACUCAAUAUCCGGCUCAUUGAAAAUUCACCUCUUUAAAUAAAUAAGUGAAAGAUCUCGGGUUCAAACUUCGGCCCUAUAUAUUAAAAUGUGAUAUUAUAUGAUAUAGAGAUUUAUAUUUAGAAAAGAAAAAAAAAUUAUUCAAAGGUAAUUUGUUAAUGAGUUUCAACACCACAAAUAUCACAUGGUAUAAAACUCAUUUCUUUGUUCACUUUCCUCUUUCUACCAUCAUUGUCUUGCUAUAUAUUAUAUGUUCUCCUUCACUACUUUACUUUCUCCACAGUUAGCAUCACAAUAAUGCCUUCCCAAAAUUUCCUAUCUUUGUUCUUCUACCUUCUCCUCUCUUGCAACACUAUCACUUCAACCUCAUCACCAUCAUCACAAAAAGAAGACACUUUUGAUUUUGUUCGUUCAAUAAACCCAAAAUUGUUAGGCCUAAACAAGAAAGAAAAGCUAAGUCAUUUCAGAUUCUAUUGGCAUGACAUCUUGAGUGGAAAAAAUCCAACUUCAAUUAUAAUUGUUCCACCAACAUUGAUUCUAAACACAACCACUUAUUUUGGUUCAGUCAACAUGUUUGAUGACCCUUUGACUUUAGGACCACAAUUAAGUUCCAAACUUGUUGGAAAAGCUCAAGGUUUUUAUGCUUCUGCAUCACAAGAUGAUUUUGGUUUUCUUAUGGCUAUGAAUUUGGCUUUCAUUGAAGGGAAGUAUAAUGGAAGUAGUAUUACUAUUUUGGGGAGGAACUCUGGUAUUAAUAAGGUUAGGGAGAUGCCUGUUGUUGGGGGUAGUGGUCUAUUCAGAUUUGCUAGAGGGUAUGCUCAAGCUAAUACUUAUAAGUAUGAUGUCAAAUCUGGAGAUGCUAUUGUGGAGUACAAUGUUUAUGUUUUUCACUAUUAGUAUUGAUGAUUGUAAAUUAUUGUUGUUGUUUUUAGGAUUUGUGUUUGUGUUGUUGUUGGUUUUUCAUACGUACUGGUCAGAAAUCGAACUCAUAACUAAAUGAUUUAGAAGUUUAAGUAUUUACCACUUGUGUCACGCUAUGUUGGAUUGCGGGUUCUUACUAUGGCUAUAUGUGACUUUGGUUUUAUAAAUUUGUUGUUAUUUGUAGUCAUUCAAAUUAAGUUAUAAAUUUGUAGUCAAAAUGCUAAUACUAUGGCUAUAUGUUACUUUGAAAAUAAUAAUUUGUUGUUAUUUUAUAUUUAUUGUGAGUUGAGAUUAUUGACUAUAGUGAAGAUGAUAUCAUAUUGCUUAAAAUCCAUUUCUUUCUUGUUUUUGAGUCUUGUGUGCGUAUGGGUUUGUGAAGCUUGGCUUUUCUUUUCUAGGAACCCAUGUCUGUCCCCUCUUGAUUUUGAUUUCAUAAUCAUUCAAGUCAUAUAUGUUCAUUUUUUAAGGUAAUCUCUCCGUUUCAAAUUAUAAGUAAAAAUGAAUUGGAGAAAAUCAAUAUGUUUGGUUUUUAAUUUGAAUUAAAUACAUUAAUUUUUUUUUACGAACUUUUUACUUAUAAUUUAAAAUCGAAGUAUUAGCAUUUUGACUAACUUGGUUCCUAUAUUUCCAUUGUGGUAAGUAUAUUCCGUCAUGGAUAUAUAAUAAUCCAAACACAUCAAUUUAGUUUCUUUGGGACUAUAGCUGUGAGAAUUUCUUGGUAAACAUCUUACUAUUAGAUGAAAUGGGGGUCAAGACUAGUAAUCAUGUAAACAAUGCUAGUUAUCCAACCUUUUUAUAACUGGGCUAGCAUGACUAAACUCAGCCAAAUUUGACUUUCUAUUCACACCCCAUCUUUUUUUAUAUAAUUAAUUUAACUUUCUAUUUCAAAUUAAAAUUACUCUAUUCAAUGUUUUAAAUGACAUCUGAUAGUCCACAUGGUUUCACAAAAUAUAAGAUAAUUGACGGCAUAUUUUUAUUAUAAUUUAAAUGUGCCGCCAAUUAUCUACAAUAUAUCUUUAUUAUUACAAAUCUAGUAGUAGUAGUUUGAUAGUGGUGUGAAUGCGAAAACAUUUUGUGGAAUUUCAAAUUCAAAAUCGGAUCAUCACACUUCUCUUUGCUUAUGUGGUUAUCUGAAAUUAAAUUUAUAAUUUCACAUAAAAUGUUUCACAAUCAAACCACUACAUUAUAAUAGUAAAGAUAUAAUGUGAAUAAUCAACUACGUACCAUUUAAAAAGUUGCGCAAGUGUUGUAUAAAUUAGGUACAAAACUCAUUUAAUUUCUUUUGUCCUUUUUAUUCUCUCUCUUUUAUUUGUUGUCCUAUAAACAAAGCCUUAACCUACACUUCAUUUCAUUAGUUCAUUUCUUCUUCCAUUAUUCUCUUCUCUACAUACUUUACUUUCUCUAGAGUUAGCAUCAGAAUUUCACCAACUCCACCACAAUGCCUAUCCAAAAUUUCCUCACUUUGUUCUUCUUCCUUCUCCUCUCUUGCAACACUCUCACUUCAUCUUCAUCACCAACAUCACAAAAAGAGGACACGUUUGAAUUUGUUCGUCCAAUAGACCCCAAAUUUUUAGGCCUAGAACACAAAGAAAAACUAAGUCAUUUUAGAGUCUAUUAGCAUGACACCUUAAGUGGAAAAAACCCG
rnacentral:lncRNA from 1 species